AUGGAUUCCAUCAUGGCUAACGGGACUUGGGAGCUUACUGAACGUCCUUAUGGUUGCAAACCAUUGGGAUGCAAGUGGGUGUUCAAGAAGAAGCUUAGGCCCGAUGGUACGAUAGAAAAGUACAAGGCUAGGCUUGUGGCCAAUGGCUACGCCCAGAAAGAAGAAGAAGAUUUCUUCGACACUUUUUCACCCGUGGCCAGACUGAUCACCAUUCGAGUAUUACUCUCGUUGGCGGCCUCGCAUGGUCUUCUCAUUCAUCAGAUGGAUGUUAAGACGGCUUUCCUGAACGGAGAGCUAAAGGAGGAAAUCUAUAUGCAACAGCCUGAUGGCUUUGUGAUGGAUGGUCAGGAAGGAAAGGUGUGUAAAUUGGUGAAAUCUUUGUAUGGCCUGAGACAAGCGCCUAAGCAAUGGCAUGACAAGUUUAAUGAAACAUUGACAUCUGUUGGCUUUGUUGUUAAUGAGGCUGACAAAUGUGUAUACUAUCGCUAUGGUGGGGGCGAAGGAGUUAUACUGUGUUUGUUUGUUGAUGACAUACUGAUAUUUGGGACUAAUCUCAAGUUGAUCGAGGAAGUUAAGUCUUUCCUAUCUCAGAACUUUGAGAUGAAGGACCUUGGAGUGGCUGAUGUUAUCUUGAACAUCAAGCUAUCGAGAGAUGAUGAGGGUGGAAUUACACUUUUGCAAUCCCAUUAUAUUGAGAAGGUGUUGAGUCGUUUUGGAUAUUCGGACUGCAAACCAUCUCAAACACCAUAUGAUUCUAGUGUGCUGAUUCGAAAGUCUAAAGGCACAGCUAUAGAUCAAUUGAGAUACUCUCAGAUUGUUGGUUCACUACAGUAUCUAGCGAGCGCAACGAGGCCUGACAUCGCAUUUGCUAUUAGCAAACUGAGCCGAUUUGUUUCCAAACCGGGUGAUGUACAUUGGCGUGCUCUUGAGAGAGUUAUGCGCUAUCUGAAAGGUACUAUGAACUAUGGACUUCACUAUACCGGAUACCCAUCGGUACUUGAAGGGUAUAGUGAUGCGAAUUGGAUCUCUGAUGCUGAUGAGAUGAAGGCCACAACUGGGUAUAUAUUUACUCUUGGAGGUGGUGCUGUUUCCUGGAAGUCUUGCAAGCAAACGAUCUUAACAAGAUCGACAAUGGAAGCAGAAUUAACAGCAUUAGACACAUCGGGUGGCGAAGCAGAAUGGCUUCGAGAUCUGUUGAUGGACUUGUCAGUGGUUGAGAAGCCGGUUCCGGCCAUCCUUAUGAACUGUGACAAUCAAACAGUUAUUGUCAAGAACACACCUAUAUGA
rnacentral:rRNA from 1 species